ACAGGGAAUCAGGAGGCCAGCAUCAUGUUCAUCGACGAAGUGGUUCUCGCCGGCAUUGUCACCGUUGGUCUGAUGGUCCUGUUCUGCGGUGGAGUCGGAUAUUUCAUCUGGAAGGACAGCCACAAGAAGGGCUGAUCGCCUUCCCGAUCACAGAGCACGCAAGGCACUUGGGGCGACUUCGGUCGCCCGUUUUUUU
rnacentral:sRNA from 1 species